CCCCUGCCCCCCAACCCCGCGCUGUGUCCGCGUCCUCAUCCCCAGGACCAGUCUCUGGCUCGGGGGUCCCGCGGCAACUCCUCGAUGCGGGCCCCCCUAGGCCCCUGGGAUCGAGGCUCGAGCUCCCCAGCCCCCGUCCACACGCGCUGGGAGCCCCGGGUAGGGGUGGCUGCGCUCGGGGGUGCCGGUUCCGAGAUCUCUUCACCCCCUAGCAGAGGUGCCGGGAGGGGUCCCUUCUUGCCUCCUCUGCCAACCCCCCGGGUCCCCACUGUGGGGAGGGGAGAGGAGGCCGCGCGCCCCCCUCCCGCAGUUCCCGGAGCGGGAAGUUUCCUCCCGAGACAAACCGCUUUCUCGGAGCCCCUUCCCGGGAACCAAGGGGCCGAGACCGAGGUCAGGCCGCCCCCAGCCCCGGAGAGGCCGCCGGUGACCGUGGCUGUGGCCGAGAAGGGCGUUCGCCCCUCGAUUCCCCGCGUGCGCCCCUCGGCUCAGGCUGAGUUCGGGGCCCCGGGGGAGCUGCAUUGUCUCGCGUCCCGCCGGCCUCUCCGGAGCCUUCGGGCGCGGGAACGCGGCGCGGCGCGGCGCGGCCCGGGGUGGGCCCUGUUGUCUCCGCGACCUUCGCAUCAUCGGGGCCCACCGCCUACGAGGAGGAUUUGGGGGGACGCACGCUUGGCGUCUGCUCUCCCCGUCUCCCAGUUCGCUGCUGAGAUUCGUUGGGGUCUGAGUGUCUCCCUCGGGUGCAGAGGUCUGUCUCUGUUAUAGUACGACGCGUUCAGGACGUUUUGUGAUGAAUGGAGUCGGGAAAAGUUCUGGAGCGCUGUUGCUACUGAGUGUGGCUCAUGCAACGUGUGGAUCCAGCCCCUUCCCAGUUUGAGGAAAGCCCGUUUCUGGAGUGGACUGAGAGGCUACUCUGGGGGCGUUUAGCUUCCUCUGGGGAGCAUGGUGAGGCUGCCACGUGUUCCUUUUAUGUGAAGAGACUCUUGCUGAGAAGCAGGAUUUACAUUUGGUGGGAGCUGAAGCUUAUACUGUGUGACCCCAGAUGUCCUGAGGAAAUCACCCAUCCCGAAGCAGUGUAAGUCCAGUUUUCAAGGAUGCAGUUUCUGCCCUGGGUGGUGAAGAAACCACUCAAGAUCUGACCCCAGAAGCAUUCUUAUUCUUGGUGAGAGAGAUACCAAGGAAAAAGACUCCAGCUGUCUUUCUUAUGGAAAACAUACUCUUGGAAAUGACAAAAGCGGUGUACAGACUGUAAAAGGAAGUAUUUUCCCCCCCUUGAAACCAAAGAAAUGUGGAACAAAUGCGUUUUCUGUAA